CUACGGCAGACUGUAGCAGCGGCGAGCGAGCGGGAAGAGCUCAAAUUUAUAAUCUGGCACCUUCGGUGUCCGAGUUGUAAUCUCUAGAAGUGUUUUCCGCGUUGGACCGCACACAAGUCUGUUGGAAUACAGCGGCAUAGUGGUGAAACCCCCGUAUAUGGUGCGGACGCCCAGCGCUUUGUGAUACACUUUCAAUGAGUCGAGUUGUUUGGGAAUGCAGCUCAAAUUGGGUGGUAAAUUCCAUCUAAAGCUAAAUAUUGGCGAGAGACCGAUAGCGAACAAGUACCGUGAGGGAAAGAUGAAAAGCACUUUGGAAAGAGAGUUAACAGUACGUGAAAUUGUUGGAAGGGAAACGCUUGAAGUCAGACUUGCUUGCCGGAGCUUGCUUCGGUUUGCAGGCCAGCAUCAGUUUUCCGGGGUGGAUAAUGACGGUUUGAAGGUAGCAGUCUCGGCUGUGUUAUAGCUUUCCGUUGGAUACAUCCUGGGGGACUGAGGAACGCAGCGUGCUUUUUGCGAAAGACUCGUCUUUUUCACGCUUAGGAUGCUGGUGGAAUGGCUUUAAACGACCCGUCUUGACACACCGGACCAA
rnacentral:rRNA from 1 species